rnacentral:lncRNA from 10 species
CCACUCAUAGAUGUAGCAUACUUUAGCAAAAGUGUGGUGGGGCUUACGAAGAUGGUGUUUGUGAGGCAGAAAACAGUAACUUCAGCAUGAACCUUAGGCACUCAUGUUUCAAAAUGCCUUUGACCAUCCCCAACAAGUGUGUUUCUCCUGGUUCCUUGCUCCACUUAGUUGAGGUUUAUUUGUUCACAUUCUUCUCAUUUGCCUGCAGGCCUAGGAACUCCCCUGCUUGGAUCACCCCUUCAGAUUCUUUUCCCUCUUUUAGAUAGAGGCAUUCGGUACUCCUCAACUUCUGUUCCUGAUGGCUCCUCCCGGGAAAUUUCACCUAAACUCAACCUCAUGAGCUACAGAAGAAAUGGUCCUUUAAUUUAGUGCCUUCCAAUUUAGAAAGUGAGAGUGGCUGUACAUCCAAAGUGGAGGAAAUGUCUCUCUUCCUAUGGAUGCCCAGCCUCUGCCCUUGUCUUCUGGACCCCACCUCCUUUCUACCACACAAGUUGGCAUGAUGACAACGUAUUUGGCCCUGGCAAUAGAUUAUGGCUGGUACAAACCAGUUCUCAGGAUAUCUUACAACUAGAGGCAGCCUUAAGACCCUGUUUUGUCGAGAAUACCUACUUGGAAGUCUAGUCAAAAGUGGCAGCUCACCCUCCUGUUUCAACUCAGAAGUCCUUCUCCAUUACCACCCCUGUCAAGUGAGGAGCUGCUGUUUCUCCUACUAAUGAGCAGAGCAGAGUGGCUCACUCUAGUUUCACUUCAUCUUUUUUGUUGGGCUGUCCUAAGAGUGUCAAGAAGAAACAGCAUCCAGAAACAUGUUUUUUUCUACCAUUUCUCCUGAAGCAAAAGCCUUCAUCAGCCUCUGGUCAUUUCACUAAGGAACAACAGGCAACAGUUGCAUCAAAUGUUUAAAGAGAAUCACCAACUCUGUCCAGCUGCAAUGCUGGACUCCUCAAAUAGCCCAUAGCCCUGCCUUCUUCACCCCUCUCAUUUUGUUAUCUUUUUUUUUUUUUACUUGCAAAACCCUAAAUCCAGGUAACAAAUCCUAUACAUAUUAGAGUUAUCUGGGGCUCCAUGAAACAAAAUCCCAACUAAACAUAUUAUUCCUUACCUAAACAAGAGGAGUCUAUUUUGCAUAUUUUUCUUCCAAGCAUGUUUAUUCUCCAAAUAUAUACUUUUUGUUCCUGUAACAAAAGUCUGCAUGGAGACAGCCCAGGUUUGGGACUCUAGCUUCACAAUGCCAUCCGUUUCCUGGGCUUUCUGCUUUCCUCUCUGCCAUCAUUGGCAGAGCCGUCCGUCCUCACGCUGCCACCUCAGUGUCACAAUGGCUGUUCCAUUUUCAGCAACAGACAUUCUUUCUUUGUGAGAUUAUAGAAACUUUGGUUAUCUCUCCCACCCACUCUAUGUUAAAAACAAGAAAAGCCAAUAAAAAACUAACAUU